rnacentral:rRNA from 1 species
UACGGAGGGGGGUAGCGUUAUCCGGAAUUACUGGGCGUAAAGGGUGCGUAGGUGGUUUCUUAAGUCAGAGGUGAAAGGCUACGGCUCAACCGUAGUAAGCCUUUGAAACUGAGAAACUUGAGUGCAGGAGAGGAGAGUAGACUUCCUAGUGUAGCGGUGAAAUGCGUAGAUAUUAGGAGGAAUACCAGUUGCGAAGGCGGCUCUCUGGACUGUAACUGACACUGAGGCACGAAAGCGUGGGGAGCAAACAGG